rnacentral:tRNA from 2 species
AAAGCUUUAAGUUAAAAAAACUAAUAACCUUCAAAGUUAUAAAUAUAAAAAGUUUAUAAGCUUUA